AAUAGAUACCCGGGUAGUCCACGCCGUAAACGAUGAGCACUAGGUGUCGGGGCCGCAAGGUUUCGGUGCCGCAGUUAACGCAUUAAGUGCUCCGGCCUGGGGAGUACGCACGCAAGUGUGAAACUCAAAGGAAUUGACGGGGACCCGCACAAGCAGCGGAGCAUGUGGUUUAAUUCGAAGCAACGCGAAGAACCUUACCAGGACUUGACAUCCCUCUGACAGUCCCUUAACCGGGAUCUCCCUUCGGGGCAGAGGAGACAGGUGGUGCAUGGUUGUCGUCAGCUCGUGUCGUGAGAUGUUGGGUUAAGUCCCGCAACGAGCGCAACCCUUGUCAUUAGUUGCCAGCAGUUCGGCUGGGCACUCUAGUGAGACUGCCGGGGAUAACUCGGAGGAAGUGGGGAUGACGUCAAAUCAUCAUGCCCCUUAUGUUCUGGGCUACACACGUGCUACAAUGGCUGGUACAAAGAGAAGCGAGACGGUGACGUGGAGCAAAUCUCAAAAACCAGUCCCAGUUCGGAUUGUAGG
rnacentral:rRNA from 1 species